rnacentral:rRNA from 1 species
AUUGAACGCUGGCGGCAGGCCUAACACAUGCAAGUCGAGCGGAUGAAGGGAGCUUGCUCCUGGAUUCAGCGGCGGACGGGUGAGUAAUGCCUAGGAAUCUGCCUGGUAGUGGGGGAUAACGUCCGGAAACGGGCGCUAAUACCGCAUACGUCCUGAGGGAGAAAGUGGGGGAUCUUCGGACCUCACGCUAUCAGAUGAGCCUAGGUCGGAUUAGCUAGUUGGUGGGGUAAAGGCCUACCAAGGCGACGAUCCGUAACUGGUCUGAGAGGAUGAUCAGUCACACUGGAACUGAGACACGGUCCAGACUCCUACGGGAGGCAGCAGUGGGGAAUAUUGGACGAUGGGCGAAAGCCUGAUACAGCCAUGCCGCGUGUGUGAAGAAGGUCUUCGGAUUGUAAAGCACUUUAAGUUGGGAGGAAGGGCAGUAAGUUAAUACCUUGCUGUUUUGACGUUACCAACAGAAUAAGCACCGGCUAACUUCGUG